rnacentral:rRNA from 1 species
GUCUGACCUGCCCGGUGAACAUUUAACGGCCGCGGUAAAUUGACCGUGCAAAGGUAGCAUAAUCAUUAGUCUUUUAAUAGGAGUCUGGUAUGAAAGGUUUAACGAAACAUAAACUGUCUUUAAUUUUAUAAAUUGAAUUUAGCUUUUAAGUUAAAAGGCUUAAAUUUUAUUGAUGGACGAGAAGACCCUAUAGAUUUUUACAUAAUUGAUUGUUAUUAUUUAAUUGAUCAAAUUUUAAUAUAAUUUUUAGUUUUGUUUAGUUGGGGUGACUAUAAAUAUAUAAUUAACUUUUAUAUUUUACAACCAUUAAUUUAUGAUUAUUGGAUCCAUUAUUAUUGAUUAUUAGAUCAAAUUACCUUAGGGAUAACAGCGUAAUCUUCUUUCAGAGUUCAAAUUUACAAGAAGGGUUGCGACCUCGAUGUUGGAUUAAGAUAAUUAUUAGGUGUAGUAGCUUAAUUAAUAGGUCUGUUCGACCUUU